rnacentral:lncRNA from 1 species
GGGCCUGCAGGCUCCAGAGGCUCUCUCAGGCCUGACGCAUGGAAGCCCUGGUGGCAGGAGGAAAAUGAAGGAGAGCAAAGCAUCAGUGCCAGGCUUCCAGACACAGAGGCACGGUCCUCAGAGCAGGCCAGGAGCUGCACCCAGCCAAGGCAGAGAGUCUCCUGCUGUGCCAGACAAUUAACAGGACGCAGAGUCAGCUGACACCAUGAAAAGCAGCCAGCACACCACCUAAAAGCUCCAUUGCACCAAGAACCAAGAAAAUCACAACUUGAAAGAAACAAGAGAAUCAGCUGAUGCCAACACUGAGAUGCACCAAUGCUGGGCUCGUGUGCUGAGCUAACAGAAGAAUGACAAGCAGCCAUGAUGCAGCUGCUUUGAGUUCAGGGCAGCACGUUGGUGCCAGCAGGCUGGGACAGCCACACAUGGAUACCGGAGAAACCGCCGGGAAAACCAAGUGAGAAGCCAAAAACAGAUGUUCAAUCGACUGUCUGAAAGCACCCUUGGAGAAAGGGCCCAAGACCUUCAGAGCCAAGGUUACAGACUCAAAGGUGCAAACUCGACAGGCCAGGCCAGGGCCUGGAAACGCGCUCCAGAAACAGAAAAGCAUUGCAAGCUGGGACACCAUAACCAAGUUGCGGAUUUUCAAAAGCAGAGUCUUGAGAGGAAGGCUGUUGUCCCCUCACCUGCGAGACGAAGAAAAUGGAAACACAAAUAAGGGAAUAAGAAGUGACACCUGAAGAUGGGAAGGUGGCCCCAGGCAUCCGAGGAAGGCUCAGCACCACGUCCUCUGUAUGGCCAGGGCGGAGGAGCAUCCGUCCUUUGCUCACCCAGAGCGGGUCCCGCACAGCCCCUGGGGUAGCCCCACCAGAAAUGCCGCCCACUGAGGGGAAGUUUCACAGCAAAUACAUACUGGCAUCAUUUACACCUGCUUAGCAGCCAUAUUUCCCUUAUCACCAGAGAUGAGUCCAAAG